UGUCUACCUGUGCCCGUGCGGAAUGUCCUU
rnacentral:piRNA from 1 species